UUGCCAGACUCCUACGGGAGGCAGCAGUGAGGAAUAUUGGUCAAUGGGCGCGAGCCUGAACCAGCCAAGUCGCGUGAGGGAAGACGGUCCUAUGGAUUGUAAACCUCUUUUGUCGGGGAGCAAAAGACGCCACGCGUGGCGUUCCGAGAGUACCCGAAGAAAAAGCAUCGGCUAACUCCGUGCCAGCAGCCGCGGUAAUACGGAGGAUGCGAGCGUUAUCCGGAUUUAUUGGGUUUAAAGGGUGCGCAGGCGGAUUUUUAAGUCAGCGGUCAAAUCGUGGGGCUCAACCCCAUCCAGCCGUUGAAACUGGGGAUCUAGAGCGUGCGAGAGGUAUGCGGAAUGCGUGGUGUAGCGGUGAAAUGCAUAGAUAUCACGCAGAACCCCGAUUGCGAAGGCAGCAUACCGGUGCACAACUGACGCUCAGGCACGAAAGCGUGGGUAUCGAACAGGAUUAGAUACCCGAGUA
rnacentral:rRNA from 1 species